rnacentral:rRNA from 1 species
UACGUAGGUGGCAAGCGUUGUCCGGAAUUAUUGGGCGUAAAGGGCGCGUAGGCGGCUUUUCAAGUGACGGGUGAAAUCCCUCGGCUUAACCGAGGAACUGCCUGUCAGACUGGAAGGCUUGAGACCGGGAGAGGUGAGUGGAAUUCCCAGUGUAGCGGUGAAAUGCGUAGAUAUUGGGAGGAACACCAGUGGCGAAGGCGGCUCACUGGACCGGAACUGACGCUGAGGCGCGAAAGCGUGGGGAGCAAACAGG